UUCAGUUCACAACGAAAGCACUUGUCUCUCUGACGUUGGAGUUCUCUAUUCAUCUAUAAAGAAUUCUUCAUAUUAUCAAUCAAUAAUCAACAAUGUCAGACCAAUCAGAUGAAGUUGCCAACCUGGAUGCCGCUGUUCAAUAUGAUCUGGAAGUUCAACAUGUUGAUGUCGCUGUCCAAGUUUCGAUGCAUCGAUACAGGACUGUCCAAGCUUUGGGUGAUCAACUUGACCAUGCUGUCCAAACUUUGGGUAAUCAACUUGACCAUGCUGUCCAAGUUUCUGAAAAUCAUCCCUUUGGAAGCAAUAAUGACAACGAAAAUCCUUUAUGCAUAAUUCGCACGCAAGGUCAGCAUUCUCGGCAAAUUAAUGUUCCACAUUGUGAAUGUGUACCUCCACCAGAACUUAUAAUUGCUAAUUUACCAACGCCAUCGUAUCAACUCUCCUCUUGCUGCGGAACAAAUUGUUCCUAUCAUAGGAUGAUUGUAACAUGCUUGAGUCUCGAUCAGAUUGAAGCAAUGUUUAACCUGAUAUUUUCUGAAGCAUUCCAGUGUAAUUCCGACUUAUAUAAUGCCGAUUCUCUUGAUCGUUAAGUAUGCAAAAUAAUUUAUUAUUGAAAUCUAAAAUUAAAAAAACAAACAAUUCAAUUACAUCAAAUGUAAAAGUAUACUUUGCACAAUAGACGAGCAAAAUAUUGCAAAAAAUCAAGAGAAACCUAUCCGCAUAUACGAAAUGCAUUGUCAAAAUAAUUCAGAAAUCAGUUGUCAGGAGUGAAAGAAAAAGAAAUGAAGAAACAGGAAAAAGAAAUGGAGAUGGAAAUAAAAUAAGAAUGAAAGCAAUGGCAGUUUCAUAGAUCCAAUGUCUUAUUUAAGAAAUAUCUAAGAUUUAGCGUGAAAUUCUUUAAAUUCUUUUUUAUCGCGCGCGUACAUAGCUUUAUAUUACAUAGAUAAAUGACAGAUUACACUAAAUGCAAAACUAUAUUGUGUGCACAACAAUUAACUUUAUUUCUGCAGUUAUUUAAUGCACAUGCAAAUAUGCAAUAAAAUACACGUAUAUAUACGUAUUAAAAAAUAUAUAAUAUUUUACUUAA
rnacentral:lncRNA from 1 species